rnacentral:lncRNA from 10 species
UCCUCCUCCUCCUCCUCUUCUUCUUCUUCUUCUUCUUCUCCUCCUUCUUCUUCUUUCUCCUUCUCCUUCUCCUCCUCCUUCUCCUUCUUCACACUUGUCUGCCUCAUAGGCCAGCCUUGCCUGAUUUAUUUAACUGCAAGUUAGAAACUGGGAGAGAACCAACUUGGAGCUUUUUUGGUCUGGGAAAGAAAAUCCAAACCAUGCUUCUCUAGGGCCUCCUGACCUGGCUAAGCACCUUGGAGGGAACCCUGGCCACGAGGGAUCCAAGCACCGCUCUGGUUUCCCAGAAGCCUGUGGAUGACUCUCAUCUGGCGGUGGACCUCAGAUGGGGCUCAGCAGUGAAAGAGGGGAAGACAAAAAUCUGGCGAGCGAGCUGCCCGGGCCGAGACUGGCCACUUCAAACAGCCCUUCAAACAAAAGGAGACGACGAAAAGAAAGCCCCACCUGUCUCCAGUGUUUGCUAAAAUAAUAAUAAAUAGAUUUCGUUUAAUAAAUAAUUACAA